CUGGUUAUGAUCGGUUGCCAGUGGAGGAAGAAGCGAAUGCGCAGGCUGAAGCGCAAAAGAAGAAAGAUGAGGCAGAGGUCCAAGUAAACUUGUACACCCAUGGAAGCCACAGGAGCAGAAACAAGGGAAGCCAGAGGACAGGGACGCUGGUACAAAUUGUUGGACUGCUUGCCUACUGUCUAGAACUUGUCUCAGUGGAUCUGGAACAUCGAUGGCCAUUCUGAUCGCCUCGACCGCCUUUGAGAGACCCACCUUGCUCGUAUCAAAACGGUCCCUUUUGGUCCUUUGCCCUGGACCUUUGACAUACUGGACUAGUUCUAUUCUCAGUUGUGGCUGAAUGUAACAUGUAACAAUAAAUCAUCUCUUUUGCUGUCUUA